UACGUAGGGUGCAAGCGUUAAUCGGAAUUACUGGGCGUAAAGCGUGCGCAGGCGGUUUUGUAAGUCUGUCGUGAAAUCCCCCGGGCUCAACCUGGGAAUUGCGAUGGAGACUGCAAGGCUAGAAUCUGGCAGAGGGGGGUAGAAUUCCACGUGUGAGCAGUGAAAAUGCGUGAGAGAGUGUGGAGGAACACCGAUGGCGAAGGCAGCCCCCUGG
rnacentral:rRNA from 1 species